AACGAACGCUGGCGGCAUGCCUAACACAUGCAAGUCGAACGAGACCUUCGGGUCUAGUGGCGCACGGGUGCGUAACGCGUGGGAACCUGCCCUUAGGUUCGGAAUAACUCCCCGAAAGGGGUGCUAAUACCGGAUAAUGUCUUCGGACCAAAGAUUUAUCGCCUUUGGAUGGGCCCGCGUUGGAUUAGCUAGUUGGUAGGGUAAAAGCCUACCAAGGCGACGAUCCAUAGCUGGUCUGAGAGGAUGAUCAGCCACACUGGGACUGAGACACGGCCCAGACUCCUACGGGAGGCAGCAGUGGGGAAUAUUGGACAAUGGGCGAAAGCCUGAACCAGCAAUGCCGCGUGAGUGAUGAAGGCCUUAGGGUUGUAAAGCUCUUUUACCCGGGAUGAUAAUGACGGUACCGGGAGAAUAAGCUCCGGCUAACUCCGUG
rnacentral:rRNA from 1 species